rnacentral:rRNA from 1 species
AUAGCGUAUAUUAAAGUUGUUGCAGUUAAAAAGCUCGUAGUUGGAUCUCAGUUCCAGACGGGUGGUCCGCCAAACGGUGGUUACUGCCCGUUCUGAACAGCCAGCCGGUUUCUCUUGAUGAUCUUCACCGGUUGUCUCGGGUGACCGGCAAGUUUACUUUGAAAAAAUUAGAGUGCUCAAAGCAGGCGCGACGCCUGAAUAAUGGUGCAUGGAAUAAUGGAAUAGGACCUCGGUUCUAUUUUGUUGGUUUUCGGAACACGAGGUAAUGAUUAAGAGGGACAGACGGGGGCAUUCGUAUCGCUGCGUGAGAGGUGAAAUUCUUGGACCGCAGCGAGACGCCCUACUG